AACACAAUUGAAAAAAAGGUCAUGUCAGCAUCUGCACAGAGGAUAAUGUCCCACCUCUGAAAAACAGGGAUAAUUAUGUUAAUUGCAAAACUGUUAUCAGAAAAUACUCAUCGGACAGAAAAGAAAAUGCUAAUGGGGCGUACAAAUUAAAAGGAGUACAGAGAAAAGCUAGUGAAAUGAACUGAUGAGUGGUAAAAGUAGUUUAUAGAAGAAAACGCCCGGCAAAUAAAAUAGAAGUGAAAAAAUGGAAACCAAUCUUCGGCUAGGAAAAAACAUUCUUCAAAUACCACAAAGAUGGCUUACUUAUCAUUAUGUAUGAGUUCAUUCCCAAGAGGGAAUGUAAAAAGGAAAAAGAAAAGUUAGCACGGCCAAAAUGUUUUCAGAUUUAACCUCCUAUCAAGGUAAACUGGAAGGUAUCACAGCUAAAACCAUUAACUCUAAGAAAAUAAAAACAUUAGUUUUCUAAAUGCAAUGUAUCAGUUACUAGAACUAGAUGAUUAUAAUCCACUCUUAACUUUUUCUCACUUCAGCAAAGUAGGGGAGCUGGAUAUUACAGAGCCAGUCAGACAAUUGACAUGCAUAAUUUGGUAGAUGCUAGCAUAUAGUUGCAAAAAGAAAACAAGGACAGAAAACACAGGCCUCGGGAUAAAAAUGACUCUUUACUGGGAGAAUACGAAAACCAUCUUUCUUUUUCUAACUACUUAUUUCUGUAAUAAGGCAGGAUCAGCCUGAUAGGUAAAGGAUGUAAAUAAUGAAACACAUUUUUUAAUUCCAAUUCCCAUUUUUUAAUUCAAUAUUAACCUGUAUUCAAUGUUAAAAUUAAAGGAUUCUUGGCAUUUUAAGUUAAAAAAUAAUAUAAAAUGUAAAUGUCACUGUUUUCAGAAAUUUCAGUUACGUUCUUCUAACAUAAAGGUGCUGCAGACUGUGUAUAAGAAAGGAAAAUUAAAAGCUGUCCUCAAGUGUAAAACCGUCAUCUCCCUCAGUGUAAUAACUGCUCUUCAUUCAAGAAAACGCUUUCUUGAUUUGAUACACGUUUUCCCAAGAGCUUGUAGUAGAGCUUAAAUGAUUUUUAAACAUUUCCCACAUAUCACUUAAAAUAACAACUGUACUAAAUUUGUUUUUGUUCUCCUACUUAAUUUUAAAAACCCAUUUGAUUUUUAUCUGACCAUAAAAACUAUUCUAUUGCAGUUGGUUUAUUGUUUUUGUUUUUUAAGUUGGGUGAAUUUUAGUGUGCUAUAUCACACACUCUAAACACAGAAAGAGAAUGACAUUUUUUUAAAUUAGCAAAGUACUGGUUUCUCCCACAGGACGCAUUUUUCAGUUUGGGCAACUCUCCCUGAGGAAAGAGAAACAACCAAAGUAGAGCAAACUGGACCUCUUAUUAUUAAAAAGGCAGCAAGACAUUCAUUUCCUCUUUAGUUACUACUCUUGUGUUAGGCUGUUAGGGUAUCCGAAUGUCUGUCUACGCUGGUGUCUAAAAUCCUCAAAGGAGAGCGUCCAGGAAGAGAGAACAAGAAAGGAAACAGAUGGCCUCGCUGCUCUGCGAAGGCUUGGAAGCGGUCUAGACCACGUACUCGACCAGACCCUCCAAACUCCCAUUUCACAACAAUCAAUACGAUGCAGCUGAGUUGGGCCGCGAGGCCAACGAAGGCAAGGCCGGCAGGAUUAGGAAACCGGGUCCGCGGGCGGCCUCCUCGCAGAGUCGCCCCCCGCUCCCUCCCCCACGCCCCCGGCAGGGGCACACCUUCCUCCCCACCCCACCUUCCAAAGUCAACACGACAGCAAGCCAAACCCAAGCCCGAGCCGUGUCUGGCCGUUUCUUUUGUCCUGCUCCACGGUGAUCACUUUUUUCCAGAGCAGGUUAACGGUCCGGGAGUCCCGGGGUGCGCCCUACGGCCCCGCCAGGGGAAGUGGCAGGUGUAUUUUGUAGGGAAACGUAGCCAUACCCGUACGUAAUAUUCCGAGGUUCGUCUUUUAAGGGCAGAUUUGAGAGACUGGUAAGAAACAGCAAAGUAUUCCUAAGGCAAAAAUGAACCGUGCAUUUAAAUGCUAAGAAGGAGAACAAAUCACCUCAUGUUGGUGAAAUGGCUUUGCUGAUUGGAAAUUACAUUAUUGUUAAUUGUUGAUUAUUCAACAUUAAGACAGGAAGCCCCAAAUGGACCGAUGAUGAAACUGGAAAAUAGGGAAAGAAUCUGAAGGGCUUCUGUCUGCUAAAUGCCUAGAACAGUGGCCGACUGGGAGCUGCUGCCCAGCGUCCCGAGAAUACCCUACGGCACGUCACUAGCCUGGGAACAGAUCCACGUAAGAGUCGAAGUAUGGUUUCUACUGAAUGCGUAUCACUCUCACACCAUCAAAAAGUCAAAAGAUCUUAAGUCUAACUGUUGUAAACAAGGGACUAUCUGUAGUUUUGUCUUCUUUUCUCCUCUGUUUCUGUUGCUUGUAUCCUUGCAGAUAAAUCUGACUUUAAUUUUCUGUGUACAGGUUUCCAGAGUGCUGGAGGCAUCCUCUGUUGUUUGCUAAAAAUGAAAAUGUGCUCCCUACCAAAUUUUGGCUAAUUGUGUCUGCUUCAACCAAGAGCGCAUAUCUUUUUUUAUUAUGCAUACAGCUUAAGGUGGUUAGUCAUAUUAUUAGCCAUAAUUAUUUUCCUGACCUAAUUGUCAUACAGUUAUGUGGUGUCUUGUAUUUUCAUAAUGCCUCACAACCACUAAUUGCAUAAAGGGGUCUGUUUAACACAGGCUUACUUAGAGUUGUUUGGAUUUGAUGAUGCCCGUCUUUGUAUACUUAUUAUAAACGUAAUAAAAAAUGUUUUGUUCCAGAUUAAUAUCAGUAUUUGGGAUGAUGAUGUCUCUACCUGAUUAUCUCAGUUCCAAGACAUACAGGUUGGGACUAGAAUUGUCAUUGAGCAGCUCCCCUUACUUCUUCUCAUCCUAGAAAGCCUAUAGUGAUGCCAACAUUAUCACCUGCCUUAUGCAUGGGCACAGCUGGACCUCCUUCAACAAAGUGUGAUUUCAGGGAAGCAUACAGGCUUCCCUGGCUUCCAAAACACUUAGAAAUGGGAACUUAACGUUUCUUAAUUAGAACUGUAUUUCUUUAUUCCUUUGGCUUAAGCCAGAUAAGAAAUUUAGUCCAUGCUAAAAAUUAAAAUACUCUUGGGAGAGAGAACACAUCAAAUCCUAUCAUUCCUUACACUUCAGGAUGAAUGAACUUGUGAAGUUUUUUUCUGAAUGAUCAGUGAGGACACAGAAAAAUCCACAAAAUUGAAAUGCAGGCUGAAGUUGAAAAAAGAGGAAGAAGAGUCAGAUGAUACCUACUUCCAAAGUUUGGCAGACUUCUGGUUAAGUUGAAUUUAACAACAUUUCUUUCCAAAGUGCCACUACAGUUACAAUAAAGGGACUUCUCAGAGUAUGAGCCAGACGAAGAACACACAAAUUAAGACAGGAAAUGGUAACAAAAAAUUGAAAAUUGGAAAUUUAUGGUAAAGGGAAUAAUUGACAGGGUACCUUAAGAAAGCUGAAUCCUACGGCAACAAUUAAGAAAACUAAGACCCAAAAUGAUAUUAACGUAUUCACAGAACCUCCCAAUAGCUCUGAAAUUCGUAGCAGUAAGAACCUCUGGAAAUAGAGGUAAAAGUGGGACUGAAUAUAGCAGGAUGGACUGAAAGUUUGUUUGGAAGUAGAUCGAUCCAUUACCACUGCACAAGAUUGCCCCCUUUUUACCCUAGUUUUAGAUUUGAGACCAAUUCCAGGAAAGAUCAGAGGCUCCAUAUUGACCAGGUGGGAGGGAAGAAGAGGGUAAAGUGAAGGUAGAUAUUGUAUAUAUUGAGCACACAUCCCCAACCCUCAUCCUCUUUUUGGCCCCCAGAAUAAAGGCAUCAGGCUGAUCCCCCCCCCCCUCCCCGGAAGAAGAUAGGGAGAGUCUUCUCUGGAGAAUCUGAUUUGUCUAAGGGAAAAGACCUAGAGUCUGAAGAGAACUCAGAUAAUUCUACAGUACAGUUUCCAGUUGACAAGCUCUGUAUGCAUGCUUGGAGCUUACACUGAGUUUUUUCAUGCACUUCUCUUAAAUGCAAUCAGAGAGUCUGGGGUCCUCAACAGUUUGAGGAAAGUUGAUGAUAGAGAACAAAGAAAAGGUAGGACAAGGAAAAAAACUCGGAAGAAACAGAAUUGAUUACACUCAAUAGAUAGAGAUGGAAAAGAAAACUUAAAAAAAAUACAUACGAUCAUUAAUAUUCUCAGAUAAAAGAUACAGCAUCUGUAAAACAAGAAUGGCAUUGCUAUUUUUUAAAAGCAGCAUUUAGAAUACAAAAAAAGGAAAUCUUAGAGAUUAAGAAUAUAACAGAAAUGAAAAAUAACGUUAAAAGGAUAGAAAAUAAACUUGAAAAUUUUUCUCCUAGAGCAAAAAUGAUAUGGAGAUGAAAAAUGGGAAAUUUUUUCAAAAGUCAGACUGCUAGUUUAAAGGAUCCAACAUCUGACUAAUUGUAGUCAAGAGAGAAAAUCAUUGAACUAAUAAUUCAAUAUAAUUUUAUAGAUCUGAAAGACAUGAAUUUUCAAUUAAAUACCAGAACGAUGAAUGAAAAUGGACUCACUCCAGUGGUUGUUAUUGUGAAAUUCAGAACACUGAAUUCAAAGAAACACCCUACACGAUUUCCAGUGACAGAAAAAAAGAAGUCCCUACAAAGAGUUAAGAAUUACAAUGGCAUGACACUUUUCAACAACAUCAUGAGAAAUGGGAAGGCAUUGGGGCAAUGCCUUUAAAAUUCUGAGGUAGGGGCACCUGGGUGGCUCAGUCAGUUAAGCGUCCAACUUUUGGUUUCGGGUCAGGUCUUGAUCACAUGGUUCAGAGCUUGAACCCCACAUUGGACUCUGUGCUGGUAGUGAGGAGUCUGCUUUGGAUUCUCUUUCUCUCCCUCUCUCUUUCUCCCCCUCCUGCUCUCUUUCUCUCUCUCUCUAAAUAAAUUAUAUAUAUAUAUAUUUAUAUAUUUACGUGUAUAUAUAAAUAUAUAUAUAUACACACACAUACAUACAUAUAUAUGUAUAUUUCUGAGGUAAAAUAAUUUCAAUCCAGAAUUCUAUACCAAGAAACAGUCAGUGAAGUAUGAGGAUAAAAAAUAUCUUUUCGGACAUACAAGUUAUUGAAAAUUUCUUCUACCUUGCAGUUUUUCCUCAGGAAGCUAUCAGAAGAUGUGUUCCAUCAAAACUCAGGGAGUAAACCUAAGGGAAAAAAAGAUAAAGGAAUCAGAUAACAGAGCCCAUCAUAAAAGGGAGGCGAAGGAAAUUCCUAGGAUGAUGGUGAAGCAGAAUUCCAGCAUGACAACUAUGCAUCAGAUUGGGACAGCUAACCAACCAGUCCAGAUUGGAGCAGGUCUGAAGGUGAAACUGAUAGAUGAAUUGUCUAUGUGUUUGAGGAAAUUUACAAAAUAGAGUCUGAUGUUGAAUUAGUGAUAAAUACAAUGAGAACCAAGCAGAGAAAAAAACUAGACCAUUAUGAACACCAAGAAAAAUAAAAUACUCUGUUGGAAUAAGUAAUCAUAGUAGAUACAUGGCUUAACUGUAAAUACAUCUGUAUAAACAUAGUAAUGUAAACACUAAAUUUAUGGUGUUGCUGCUAUAUUUGGAAGAUGAAAGAAUGGAUAUGU